GAGACCGGGGUUAGUUGUCCCAGGGGCAAGUUGACCAAGUGGCAUUAAUUAGUGCCCUCUUCUUUUAAAAAAUCACAAAAAAUUCUGUAGUGUACAGUAUGACCUCAAGGUGUCUUAUGUGUAAUUUGAUGGCCUUCCAUGCAGAACUGUGGAAGCUGCAUACGAAAACGUGUUUUCAUUCGUCAUUUCGAAAAUUGUGAAUUUGCGGCUGCCUCAGGCUUUUUGACAUAAACUUUUUCCUUGGAAAGUUGACGACAGUCUCAUUGUAAUCCUCAGGUGAAAUGAGAACAUAUGUAAAGAAGACUAAUAGGGGUGAAAUUCCUAAAGAUAUUUGGAUGCUGGCCAUCAAAGCUAUAGUAGAGAACGGAAUGAAUAUUUCCCAAGCAGCAAGAGAAUAUAAUGUUCCCCCUAAAAGUCUUGCGAGGAAUGUAAGGAAGUACUGCUCUCACCAGGAUAGUCUUUCUGAAGUACCUGAACAUGAUACUUUUUUCAUAGGGUAUGCCAAACCCAAGCAGGUAAACUAUUCAGCGUGUCACUAAGACCAGUCAAAGUUACGUAAACCGUAACAAAGUGGAUCAAAAAGUAGGAUCAAGCGAAAGCUGAUGGAGGCUGAAAAAGAGAAGAAGAAGAAUGAGAUGAAGAAAAAGAAAGAUGAAAAAAGGUAUCAAGGGGAAGGCCAAGAAAAGCAAUUCGAAAGAAGAAAGCAGUUGCGGCAGCUGAAGAACAAGAUG